CAGUCGCCACGGUAACACGUAGGGUGCAAGCGUUAUCCGGAAUUAUUGGGCGUAAAGAGCUCGUAGGCGGUUUGUCGCGUCUGCUGUGAAAACUGGAGGCUCAACCUCCAGCCUGCAGUGGGUACGGGCAGACUAGAGUGCGGUAGGGGAGAUUGGAAUUCCUGGUGUAGCGGUGGAAUGCGCAGAUAUCAGGAGGAACACCGAUGGCGAAGGCAGAUCUCUGGGCCGUAACUGACGCUGAGGAGCGAAAGCAUGGGGAGCGAACAGGAUUAGAUACCCGCGUAGUCCCUGUCUCUUAUAU
rnacentral:rRNA from 1 species